GGCCUCAUCAAGGCGGCCGCGGACGGCAACCUCGGCCGGCUCAAAGGUAUUGUAAAGCGUCUUACCAGAGGAAAUGGUGACCGGUCGACGAUUUUUUCUUUCAACAACAAUGGACUCUCUGUGUUGCAUAUCGCGGCAAGCUGUGGCCAUCUGGAGAUUUGCAAGUAUUUGGUGGAGGAGCUCAAGGGAGAUAUAAAUGCUCCUGGAUAUGGAGCUGCAGGUGCGACUCCAUUUAUGGGGUCUGCUCAGUCUGGUGAUGUUGCUGCCGUCAAGUAUUUUCUUGAUGGUGGCGGUGAUGUAACGAAAGCAGACGACAAAGGACAAACAGUUCUCCACCAUGCUGUGGCUGCAGGAUGCUGCAAGGUAACAGAGUUCCUCCUUUCAAAAGGAGUGCCGGUCGACAUAAACUUCGGCCGUGGAACACCAGCCUUUCUGGCUGCUGUAAAUGAGCAGGAUAAGACAUUGAAGAUUUUGUUGGACCACCAUGCAAAUCCUAAUGUCAUUGUCAGCGGUAUGGUAAAUCCUCUGUGUAUGGCUCUUGUUUACCAUUCAUUGAAGUGCAUGAAGCUACUCAUUAAGGCUGGUGCCGAUGUUAAUUGCAAGGGUUGUGCUAUGACUCCUUUGUUGUUUGCUACGGCGCAAGGAGGUUAUACCAACUACAUUCAGUUCCUAUUGAAGGCUGGAGCAGAUCCUAAUAUUCCUGAUGAUUUGGGUAGGUUGCCAAUAGAGAUUGCUGCGUUACGUGAUUGCAAAGAAGAGGUUGACAUGUUGUUUCCUUUGACUUCCCCAAUUCCAAAUGUCCCAAACUGGAGUAUUGAGGGAGUAAUUUCUUAUGCAAAAAUUGAAGAUAAAAAGCCGAUGGAGCAAAAGCACCGUGAAAGAAGAAAAUGUUUCUUGAAGUUAUAG
rnacentral:rRNA from 1 species